CUCCGCUUAAGGUGAACCGCGAAUGGCUCAUUAAAUCAGUUAUGGUUCCUUAGAUGGUGGACAGUUACUUGGAUAACUGUGGUAAUUCUAGAGCUAAUACAUGCAACAGAGUCCCGACCGGAGACGGAAGGGACGCUUUUAUUAGAUCAAAACCAAUCGGUCGCUCCGGCGGCCGUUUGCCUUGGUGACUCUGAAUAAAUGGAGGCGGAUCGCACGGUCUCCGAACCGGCGACGCAUCUUUCAAAUGUCUGCCUUAUCAACUGUCGAUGGUAGGCUCUGCGCCUACCAUGGUUGUAACGGGUAACGGGGAAUCAGGGUUCGAUUCCGGAGAGGGAGCCUGAGAAACGGCUACCACAUCCAAGGAAGGCAGCAGGCGCGCAAAUUACCCACUCCCGGCACGGGGAGGUAGUGACGAAAAAUAACGAUGCGGGACUCAUCCGAGGCCCCGUAAUCGGAAUGAGUACACUCUAAAGACUUUGACCAGUAUCCAUUGGAGGGGGGCUCUGGGGGUGCCACCCGCGGGGGUUCCUGCUCCGAUAUCGU
rnacentral:rRNA from 1 species